rnacentral:rRNA from 1 species
GGAUGAACGCUAGCGGCAGGCUUAAUACAUGCAAGUCGAGGGGCAGCGGGAGUAGCAAUACUUGCCGGCGACCGGCGCACGGGUGCGUAACACGUAUACAAUCUACCCUUUACAGGGGGAUAGCCCUCCGAAAGGAGGAUUAAUACCCCAUAAUAAAUUGAAUGGCAUCAUUUGAUUUUGAAAGAUUUAUCGGUAAAGGAUGAGUAUGCGUCUGAUUAGCUAGUUGGAGAGGUAACGGCUCCCCAAGGCGACGAUCAGUAGGGGAUCUGAGAGGACUACCCCCCACACUGGUACUGAGACACGGACCAGACUCCUACGGGAGGCAGCAGUAAGGAAUAUUGGUCAAUGGAGGCAACUCUGAACCAGCCAUGCCGCGUGCAGGAAGACGGCCCUAUGGGUUGUAAACUGCUUUUGUACGGGAGAAAACCCUUUCACGUGUGGGAGGUUGAUAGUACCGUAAGAAUAAGCAUCGGCUAACUUCGUGCCAGCAGCCGCGGUAAGACGAAGGAUGCAAGCGUUAUCCGGAUUCAUUGGGUUUAAAGGGAGCGUAGGUGGACUUGUAAGUCAGUGGUGAAAUCUCUCANNNUAACUGANNNNNUGCCAUUGAUACUGCAGGUCUUGAGUACAGAUGAUGUGGGCGGAAUAUGACAUGUAGUGGUGAAAUACUUAGAUAUGUCAUAGAACACCGAUUGCGAAGGCAGCUCACAAAACUGUAACUGACACUGAGGCUCGAAAGUGCGGGGAUCAAACAGGAUUAGAUACCCUGGUAGUCCGCACCGUAAACGAUGAUAACUCGUUGUUAGCGAUAUGACAGUUAGCGACCAAGCGAAAGCGAUAAGUUAUCCACCUGGGGAGUACGCCGGCAACGGUGAAACUCAAAGGAAUUGACGGGGGCCCGCACAAGCGGAGGAGCAUGUGGUUUAAUUCGAUGAUACGCGAGGAACCUUACCUGGGCUUGAAAGUUAGUGACCGUCUCUGAAAGGAGAUUUUCCGCAAGGACACGAAACUAGGUGCUGCAUGGCUGUCGUCAGCUCGUGCCGUGAGGUGUUGGGUUAAGUCCCGCAACGAGCGCAACCCCUACCAUUAGUUACCAGCGAGUAAUGUCGGGAACUCUAAUGGAACUGCCCGUGCAAACGGUGAGGAAGGUGGGGAUGACGUCAAGUCAUCACGGCCCUUACGUCCAGGGCUACACACGUGCUACAAUGGCCGGUACAACGGGCAGCUACACAGUGAUGUGAUGCUAAUCUCUAAAAACCGGUCUCAGUUCGGAUUGAAGUCUGCAACUCGACUUCAUGUAGCUGGAUUCGCUAGUAAUCGCGCAUCAGCAAUGGCGCGGUGAAUACGUUCCCGGGCC